CAGCCCCUCGAGUGGUGGGGAUGAUUAUUUGGCCUAAAGCGUCCGUAGCCGGCCGAGCAAGUCUUCCGUUAAAUCCAGCGUCUCAAGCGUUGGACCGCGGGAGAUACUACACGGCUAGAGAGUGGGAGAGGUCAGCGGUAUUCUGGGGGUAGGGGCGAAAUCCUUUGAUCCCCGGAGGACCACCAGUGGCGAAGGCUGCUGACUAGAACACGUCUGACGGUCAGGGACGAAAGCUGGAGUAGCGAACCGGAUUAGAGACCCGAGUAGUCC
rnacentral:rRNA from 1 species